rnacentral:rRNA from 1 species
GACGAACGCUGGCGGCGUGCUUAACACAUGCAAGUCGAACGAAGUGGCGAACGGGUGAGUAACGCGUAAUCAACCUGCCCUUCAGAGGGGGACAAAAGUUGGAAACGACUGCUAAUACCGCAUACUGAAGGAGGGGAUUGCGUCUGAUUAGCCAGUUGGAGGGGUAACGGCCCACCAAGGCGAUGAUCAGUAGCCGGGCUGGGAGGAUGAACGGCCCAAAUGGGACUGGGAAACGGCCCAGAAUCCUACGGGAGGGAGCAGGGGGGAAUCUUCCGCAAUGGACGAAAGUCUGACGGAGCAACGCCGCGUGAGUGAUGACGGCCUUCGGGUUGUAAAGCUCUGUUAAUCGGGACGCGGUACCGGAAUAGAAAGCCACGGCUAACUACGUGCCAGCAGCCGCGGUAAUUC